GCCGCUCACAUCCUUGGGGACUUUUCUUCGCAGCUCUGUGCCCACUCCAGCCUCUGGGGGAUGUCAUUCUGAACGUCCCCUCUCCCACUGCCGUUGCAGUGAAAGAUCACUGUGUGUAGCCAGGAGGCAUGCACGGCUCACACCGAGGGAGAGACCCAGAGCCGGGGGCCCAGUGCCCACCCCCAGGUGUCUCACCUUUCCUCACGGCGGAACGUCAGAGCCGGUGGGGGCUGGAGGGACGCGCGCAUCCACAUCCGAACCUCUCAGGUGACCGGUUACUGGGGUGGGAGCUGGCACUGUGUCGCUACCUGGAUAGAGCAGGGGGCGGGGAGAGACAGGCUGAGAAGCACGGAAUGUAUUCAAUGGAGGGAGAAAGAAUGAAUGAGAGCGAGAGAGAGAGCAAAAGAGCGUGAGAGUGAGGGCCUGGGAAGAAAACAAGGCAAGGAAAAGAAAUCAAAUGAGAAAGAAAAAGGCCCAAAGUGGGGUGAAGGCAUAAGUGACCGGCCAUCUGGAAGCAGCACGGAGCUUGGCGGGGGUGUGUGUUUGUGAAGCAGGGGAGCUAGACCGACAGGUGCGAGGGCCCAGCUGCUGCCAGCCAAGAACCUUCUGGGCCCAGCGCCCAACCAGAAAGAAGGCAUGGCCCCUGCAAGAGACUUCUCCAGGGGGGCUUUCGGCUGAGGGAAUAGAUGGGAGCUGCCCUUUCCUAGGGGCAGGGCAACCCUCAGCGAGCCCAGUGGGGCUUGCCUCUGAAGAGC